AGAAUGAACGCUGGCGGCAUGCCUAACACAUGCAAGUCGAACGAGACCUUCGGGUCUAGUGGCGCACGGGUGCGUAACGCGUGGGAAUCUACCCUUGGGUUCGGAAUAACAGUGAGAAAUUACUGCUAAUACCGGAUAAUGUCGCAAGACCAAAGAUUUAUUGCCCAAGGAUGAGCCCGCGUAAGAUUAGCUAGUUGGUGGGGUAAAGGCCUACCAAGGCGACGAUCUUUAGCUGGUCUGAGAGGAUGAUCAGCCACACUGGGACUGAGACACGGCCCAGACUCCUACGGGAGGCAGCAGUGGGGAAUAUUGGACAAUGGGCGAAAGCCUGAUCCAGCAAUGCCGCGUGAGUGAUGAAGGCCUUAGGGUUGUAAAGCUCUUUUACCCGGGAAGAUAAUGACUGUACCGGGAGAAUAAGCCCGGCUAACUCCGCGCCAGCAGCCGC
rnacentral:rRNA from 1 species